UCAUGCUGUUAGUACGUGGGAGAUCUAAUAUUCAAACCUAAAACUGUCUUACAUCAAAACCUGUGUUCUUAAGAUUGAUGAAUCACCCCUUAGCAGACAUUGAAACCCAAAUGCCUCCAGAGGCAAGAUACUGACUAAGACUCCAGGAGCUGGCCCUACAGAGAAACAGUACAAAUCUUGGCCAAAAGUCAGAUGGGGGAAAAAAAACAGGUAAAUCAAGUAUUCCCUUUUUUUU
rnacentral:lncRNA from 1 species